rnacentral:rRNA from 1 species
UACGGGGGGGGCAAGCGUUGUUCGGAAUUACUGGGCGUAAAGGGCUCGUAGGCGGCCCACUAAGUCCGACGUGAAAUCCCCAGGCUUAACUUGGGAACUGCGUCGGAUACUGGUGGGCUUGAAUCCGGGAGAGGGAUGCGGAAUUCCAGGUGUAGCGGUGAAAUGCGUAGAUAUCUGGAGGAACACCAAUGGCGAAGGCAGAUCUCUGGGCCGUAACUGACGCUGAGGAGCGAAAGCAUGGGGAGCGAACAGG